UUCGCGCUCUGGUUCUUACUUUCGAAUUACGCAGUCGCUCUAGGGUUCGGUUCGAAUAUUAGAGAGUGCAACAAUGGUGAACGAAGAAGCUCGAGACUCCGAUGUAAUUGAUCCUCUUGCUGCUUAUUCUGGCAUCAACCUCUUCCCCAGCACAUUUGGCAUUUUACCUGAUCAUUCAAAGCCACAUGAUCUUGGAACUGGCCUCGACGACAUCCACAAGCACCUCAAGUCGAUGGUCUCAAGAAGUCCUAGUAAACUUAUAGAGCAGGCCAGAGCCAUUUUAGACGGUAACUCAAAUGUGAUGCACUCUGAAAUUGCAACAUUUCUUGUACAUGAUGAUGAAAACAAAGAAACUACAGCAAAGGUGGAGGAAAAUCCACAAGAAAGAAGGCCAGCAUUAAACCGUAAGCGGGCAAGGUUUUCUUUAAAACCUGAUACUAGACAACCUGCUGUUAACUUGGAGGCAACAUUCAACAUUAAACAAUUGAAAGACCCCGAGGAGUUCUUUUUGGCCUUUGAAAGGCUUGAAAAUGCCAAAAUAGAAAUACAGAAACAAACGAGAGGAGUUUUGAAGGACUUGAACCAACAGAAUCCAUCCACGAAUACACGUCACCGUAGACCAGGGAUUCUUGGGAGGUCUGUUAGAUACAAGCAUCAAUAUUCAUCAAUAACAUCUGAAGAUGAUCAGAACGUAGAACCCUCUCAAGUUACAUUUGAAUCAGGUAAUAUUAGUCCAUCAAUAAUGGGCACAGAAAAAUGUCCCAGUCCACCUAUAAUUGGCUCAGAAAAGAGAACUGGUGAACAUGUCCCAUUUGAGGAGGAGGAGGAGGAGGAGGAGUUAGUUACCUCAAUCACCAAGUCAGAGAACAAAGUGAAUAGAAUUUUGGAUGAGUUACUGUCGGCUAACUGUGAAGAUUUAGAAGGUGAUCGAGCCAUCAACAAAUUACAGGAAUGCUUACAGAUUAAACCCAUCAAUUUAGAGAAAUUAUGCCUUCCAGAUUUGCAAGCUAUUCAGACAGUGAAUUUGAAAUCUUCAAGAGGCAAUGCGCCAAAGCGUAGUUUGAUCAGUGUGGACAAUCAAUUACAAAGGAUAGAGACUUCGAAGUUUAAGCAGGAUGAUGAAAGUUCUGUUCAUCUGCUUUCUACGCCAUCCUCAAUGAAAAGUCCAUUGGCAUCAGUAUUAGCCCUAAAUAGGCAAAUUUUGCUUUCAAAUUCAUCAAGUGAUCCAUUUUCAGCUCAUGACAUUGACAAGUCCCCAGCAAGAAAUCCUUCCUUUUCUGAACACAUUAAUCACUUGUCUGACAUAGUUGAUAUUGCAAAGCAGUCGAGUGUUUCUAAACUGAAGUCACCUUUAACCAAAGAUGGUGAGGCUGUACCUAAUGGAAUUAGGUCACCCAAAUGCCCUAUUGGAGAUGUUGAUUCUAUGUCUAAAAUAUCUUUGGCUAAUGUUUUAAAUGUACCCGAAGUUGGUGGCAAUGCUGCCUUAAAUGGAAGUCACGCCAGCAUGGAAGCUAAGGAAAUUAGUGGUAGCGACACAGAAGUGGAAGUAAAUAAGAAAUUGAGUUGUCUUGGAGCCAAAGCAGAUGGUUUGGCUAAUGCAUCAAAUGCAUUGGAUGAUGAGAUGGAAGAUCAUGAUGAAUUAGCUUCAGAGCAACUGAACACAUCCAAGGUGGAUGCGACUAAAGAGUAUCCGUUUGGUAUUCAGAGUCAGUUGGAUCAAUCAACUGCUACUUCUACUGAUAAUAAUGUAGACGGGGUGUCCAGGAGCAGUGGAACGGAUCACCAUGAUAAGGUCAAGCCAAAAUCUCAUGCAAACAAACAACGCAAAGACAAAAACAUUUCUCGGAGGCAAAGCCUUGCAGGGGCUGGUACAAAGUGGGAAAGUGGGGUAAGAAGAAGUACGAGGUUCAAAACACGACCUUUGGAGUAUUGGAAAGGUGAAAGGCUGUUGUAUGGACGUGUACAUCAGAGCCUGGCAACAGUAAUCGGGAUGAAGUAUGUGUCUCCAGCAAAAGGUAAUGGCCAACCAACUCUGAAGGUGAAGUCUCUGGUCUCUAACAAGUACAAAGAACUAGUUGAGUUUGCAGCUCUGCACUAAGGGUCAGUACACAAAGGAGGAGCAAAGAGCUCUGCAGCUUUUUGGACUUUUCAAGUGCGAUGAACAUUAUGUUAUCGCUCAUGUACUCGUGUCAUGUGUUCCAGAAAGAAUUGUAAUCCUUUGGCCAACUUGUAUUUGCCUCACUGUUUUUUUUCCUCUCUUUUUCUUUUUUGAGGGUGGCCAAAUUGUAAACCUUUGGUAGCCUUGAGAAUUGCUAGCUACAGGAUCUUGUAUAGGAUUGGUUGUAGUGUAGUAUAGUAGAGCAAAAUGUAAGGGACAGCUGAAAUAGAAAAAAUUGACAAUAUCGAUGGAAGUGAGGUGGUUUUGUAUUUUGAACUAUCCUUUAACAGUUAGCGUAGCAUUAUUUGUCUGUUUGGUCUAGGGUCGGUGCUAUCCUUCGUUGUGAGGAGACAUCAAGAAUUUUUGGUAUUAAACUCACUCACUCGAAGGUUCGAAGAUAAAGACAAGAUUACAAGUGUUACCACAAGGCUCCAUGACC